UACCGGCGGCUCGAGUGGUGGCCACUAUUACUGGGCUUAAAGCGUCCGUAGCUGGAUUGUUAAGUCUCUUGGGAAAUCCACCGGCUCAACCGAUGGGCGUUCAGGAGAAACUGGCAAUCUAGGGACCGGGAGAGGUGAGAGGUACUCCAGGGGUAGGAGUGAAAUCCUGUAAUCCUUGGGGGACCACCUGUGGCGAAGGCGUCUCACUAGAACGGCUCCGACAGUGAGGGACGAAAGCUGGGGGAGCAAACCGGAUUAGAUACCCGGGUAGUCCCAGCUGUAAACGAUGCGCGUUAGGUGUAUCGGUGACCACGAGUCAUCGAGGUGCCGAAGGGAAACCGUGAAACGUGCCGCCUGGGAAGUACGGUCGCAAGGCUGAA
rnacentral:rRNA from 2 species